UACGUAGGGGGCAAGCGUUGUCCGGAAUCAUUGGGCGUAAAGAGCGUGUAGGCGGCUUGGUAAGUCCGCUGUGAAAGUCCAGGGCUCAACCCUGGAAUGCCGGUGGAAACUGUCAGGCUCGAGUCCGGAAGAGGCGAGUGGAAUUCCUGGUGUAGCGGUGAAAUGCGCAGAUAUCGGGAGGAACACCUAUGGCGAAGGCAGCUCGCUGGGACGUUACUGACGCUGAGACGCGAAAGCGUGGGGAGCAAACAGG
rnacentral:rRNA from 1 species